ACAUGGGGCACGGUUUCUGGUGAUUCAUAAUAACUUUUCGAAUCGCAUGGCCUUGUUGGUUAGCGAUGUUUCAUUCAAAUUUCUGCCCUAUCAACUUUCGAUGGUAGGAUAGAGGCUACCAUGGUUUUAACGGGUAACGGGGAAUUAGGGUUCGAUUCCGGAGAGGGAGCCUGAGAAACGGUACCAAUCCAAGGAAGGCAGCAGGGCGCAAAAUUACCCAAAUCCCCGAUACGGGGGAAGGGUAGUUGACAAUAAAUAACAAUACAGGGCUUUAUAGUCUUGUAAUUUGGAAUGAGUACCAAUUUAAAAUCUCUUUAAGAGGAACAAUUGGAGGGGCAAGUCUGGUGCCAGAGGCAGGGAUAAUUUCCCAGUCCAAUAGGCGUAUAUUAAAGGUUGUUGGAGUUUAAAAAGUUCGUAGUUG
rnacentral:rRNA from 1 species